UACGGGGGGGGCAAGCGUUGUUCGGAAUUAUUGGGCGUAAAGGGUGCGCAGGCAGUUCUGCAAGUCAGGCGUGAAAUCCCCGGGCUUAACCUGGGAAUGGCGCUUGAAACUACGGGACUGGAGUAUGGCAGAGGGAGGUGGAAUUCCACGUGUAGCGGUGAAAUGCGUAGAGAUGUGGAGGAACACCGAUGGCGAAGGCAGCCUCCUGGGCCAAUACUGACGCUCAUGCACGAAAGCGUGGGGAGCAAACAGG
rnacentral:rRNA from 1 species